GACUGCUCACAAUAUGUCCCUGUGGGAAAAAUACAGUGAUAAGGCAGAAGCAUAACAAAUAGCGUCUCUCCUUGAAUUUGCCUCAUUUUGCCCCAAAGAAAGGAGGAAAGCCCAUAUUUGACCCCAAGAAUUCCUGUUUGCAUUAUAGCAUUAGCGAACAAAAACACAUAUCCCUGAAUUGUUCACCUUUUGGACCUAUAAGAAGGAAACAUUCAGUUAUUCGAAAUAUCCCUGAUCCCUUUUUAGGUUGGCCAAUUCAAGUGGUUGACUUGCAUUUUUUUUCACUGUUUUGUUCCAGAAUAGCUAUGCAGAAUAAGUAAAUUCUGUGACAUUAAAAUAAACAGAUGGUUUUUUUUCCUAGUAUGCAGAAACCGUUCAACUUCUUGAACUCAUACAGAAGGACAAGGAGCUACACAUCAUACUGUCAAAGGAGCAAUUGGUUGUGUUCACAGAACGUAUUUAACUUCACUACCGAACUGACUCACUUUCUGGGUUUGUACAAUACAGAUGUUUUUUUAUGGAGAGCACAGAAGAUAAGAGGGCACUACCUCUCUUGACUAUUUCUUGGUUUUCUCUGAUCCCCUUCUGUUUCAAUAUACAUAAUUCUAUGGCAUUCUAUUCUUUUAAUAAAAUGUUGCUUUUUGCUAAUUACUGAAAAAAGAAUAUGAAAGAU